rnacentral:rRNA from 1 species
UACGAAGGGGGCUAGCGUUGUUCGGAAUUACUGGGCGUAAAGCGCGUGUAGGCGGGUCUUUAAGUCAGGGGUGAAAUGCCAAGGCUCAACCUUGGAACUGCCUUUGAUACUGGAGAUCUUGAGUCCGGGAGAGGUGAGUGGAAUUGCGAGUGUAGAGGUGAAAUUCGUAGAUAUUCGCAAGAACACCAGUGGCGAAGGCGGCUCACUGGCCCGGAACUGACGCUGAGACGCGAAAGCGUGGGGAG